AGUGACAAGAGAUAACAAUACAGGGCAUUCAUGUCUUGUAAUUGGAAUGAGUAGAAUUUAAAUCCCUUUACGAGUAUCAAUUGGAGGGCAAGUCUGGUGCCAGCAGCCGCGGUAAUUCCAGCUCCAAUAGCGUAUAUUAAAGUUGUUGCAGUUAAAAAGCUCGUAGUUGGAUUUCUG
rnacentral:rRNA from 1 species